rnacentral:rRNA from 1 species
AGAACCUGAGAGUUUGAUCCUGGCUCAGAACGAACGCUG